GACGAACGCUGGCGGCGUGCCUAAUACAUGCAAGUAGAACGCUGAAGGAGGAGCUUGCUUCUCUGGAUGAGUUGCGAACGGGUGAGUAACGCGUAGGUAAUCUGCCUGGUAGCGGGGGAUAACUAUUGGAAACGAUAGCUAAUACCGCAUAAGAGUAGAUGUUGCAUGACAUUUGCUUAAAAGGUGCAAUUGCAUCACUACCAGAUGGACCUGCGUUGUAUUAGCUAGUUGGUGGGGUAACGGCUCACCAAGGCGACGAUACAUAGCCGACCUGAGAGGGUGAUCGGCCACACUGGGACUAAGACACGGCCCAGACUCCUACGGGAGGCAGCAGUAGGGAAUCUUCGGCAAUGGACGGAAGUCUGACCGAGCAACGCCGCGUGAGUGAAGAAGGUUUUCGGAUCGUAAAGCUCUGUUGUAAGAGAAGAACGAGUGUGAGAGUGGAAAGUUCACACUGUGACGGUAUCUACCA
rnacentral:rRNA from 1 species